UACGUAGGCAGCAAGCGUUGUUCGGAGUUACUGGGCGUAAAGAGUAUGUAGGCGGUUGCGUAAGUUCGGUGUGAAAUCUCCCGGCUUAACUGGGAGGGUGCGCCGAAAACUGCGUGGCUUGAGUGCGGGAGAGGAGAGCGGAAUUCCUGGUGUAGCGGUGAAAUGCGUAGAUAUCAGGAGGAACACCGGCGGCGAAGGCGGCAUCCUGGACCAACACUGACGCUGAGUGAGCGAAAGCCAGGGGAGCAAACGGG
rnacentral:rRNA from 1 species